GUAGGUGGCAAGCGUUGUCCGGAAUUAUUGGGCGUAAAGCGCGCGCAGGCGGUUCUUUAAGUCUGAUGUGAAAGCCCACGGCUCAACCGUGGAGGGUCAUUGGAAACUGGAGAACUUGAGUACAGAAGAGGAAAGCGGAAUUCCACGUGUAGCGGAGAAAUGCGUAGAGAUGUGGAGGAACACCAGUGGCGAAGGCGGCUUUCUGGUCUGUAACUGACGCUGAGGCGCGAAAGCGUGGGGAGCAAACAGGAUUAGAUACCCUGGUAGUCCACGCCGUAAACGAUGAGUGCUAAGUGUUAGGGGGGUUUCCGCCCCCCUUAGUGCUGCAGCUAACGCAUUAAGCACUCCGCCUGGGAGUACGGCCGCAAGGCUG
rnacentral:rRNA from 1 species